UAAGCGGAGGAAAAGAAACCAACAGGGAUUGCCUUAGUAACGGCGAGUGAAGCGGCAACAGCUCAAAUUUGAAAUCUGGCCCUCGGGUCCGAAUUGUAAUUUGUAGAGGAUGAUUUUGGUGCGGUAUCUUCCGAGUUCCUUGGAACAGGACGCCUUAGAGGGUGAGAGCCCCGUACGGUUGAAUGCCUAGCCUCUGUAAAUCUCCUUCGACGAGUCGAGUAGUUUGGGAAUGCUGCUCUAAAUGGGAGGUAAAUUUCUUCUAAAGCUAAAUAUUGGCCAGAGACCGAUAGCGCACAAGUAGAGUGAUCGAAAGAUGAAAAGCACUUUGAAAAGAGGGUUAAAUAGCACGUGAAAUUGUUGAAAGGGAAGGAUUUGUGACCAGACUUUUUCUGGGCGGAUCAUCCGGGGUUCUCUCCGGUGCACUUUGCCCAGUAAAGGCCAGCAUCGAUUUUCGGCGGCGGAUAAAAGCAGUGGGAAUGUGGCUCCCUACGGGGAGUGUUAUAGCCCAUUGUAUAAUACGCUGCUGGGGAUCGAGGUACGCGCUUCUGCAAGGAUGCUGGCGUAAUGGUUAUCAAUCACCCGUCUUGAAACACGGACCAAGGAGUCGAACAUUUAUGCGAGUGUUUGGGUGUUAAACCCUCACGCGUAAUGAAAGUGAACGGAGGUGAGAGCCCGUACGGGUGCAUCAUCGACCGAUCCUGAAGUUUUCGGAUGGAUUUGAGUAAGAGCAUAACUGUUCGGACCCGAAAGAUGGUGAACUAUGCGUGGAUAGGGUGAAGCCAGAGGAAACUCUGGUGGAGGCUCGCAGCGGUUCUGACGUGCAAAUCGAUCGUCAAAUCUGCGCAUGGGGGCGAAAGACUAAUCGAACCAUCUAGUAGCUGGUUACC
rnacentral:rRNA from 2 species